GGGAGCCGGAGGGAAACCGAGUCUUAAUUGGGCGUUAAGUUGCAGGGUAUAGACCCGAAACCCGGUGAUCUAGCCAUGGGCAGGUUGAAGGUUGGGUAACACUAACUGGAGGACCGAACCGACUAAUGUUGAAAAAUUAGCGGAUGACCUGUGGCUGGGGGUGAAAGGCCAAUCAAACCGGGAGAUAGCUGGUUCUCCCCGAAAGCUAUUUAGGUAGCGCCUCGUGAAUUCAUCUCCGGGGGUAGAGCACUGUUUCGGCUAGGGGGCCAUCCCGGCUUACCAACCCGAUGCAAACUGCGAAUACCGGAGAAUGUUAUCACGGGAGACACACGGCGGGUGCUAACGUCCGUCGUGAAGAGGGAAACAACCCAGACCGCCAGCUAAGGUCCCAAAGUCAUGGUUAAGUGGGAAACGAUGUGGGAAGGCCCAGACAGCCAGGAUGUUGGCUUAGAAGCAGCCAUCAUUUAAAGAAAGCGUAAUAGCUCACUGGUCGAGUCGGCCUGCGCGGAAGAUGUAACGGGGCUAAACCAUGCACCGAAGCUGCGGCAGCGACGCUGAUGCGUUGUUGGGUAGGGGAGCGUUCUGUAAGCCUGCGAAGGUGGCCUGUGAGGGUUGCUGGAGGUAUCAGAAGUGCGAAUGCUGACAUAAGUAACGAUAAAGCGGGUGAAAAGCCCGCUCGCCGGAAGACCAAGGGUUCCUGUCCAACGUUAAUCGGGGCAGGGUGAGUCGACCCCUAAGGCGAGGCCGAAAGGCGUAGUCGAUGGGAAACGGGUUAAUAUUCCCGUACUUGGUGUUACUGCGAAGGGGGGACGGAGAAGGCUAUGUUGGCCGGGCGACGGUUGUCCCGGUUUAAGCGUGUAGGUGUGUGUUCCAGGUAAAUCCGGUU
rnacentral:rRNA from 1 species